rnacentral:RNase_P_RNA from 1 species
UUGAGCUGGGGGUGCAGCUUUCCCAAAAAGGGAGGAAGCUCCACCCACCCAAUAGGCAGCAUCGCAAGAUGCAUGGCCGAGAGGCCAUCUCUCAGGAAGCAGAAACGAACCCAUGCAUGCUAUAGAUGAUGCAUAUCGCAUAUACAUGAGCAUGCAGUGGGGUGAAACGGUCCUGAGAGUGCCGGGUGCAAGCUGUUGCGCUUAGAUAAAUGCUGCAGCCCUUUUAAUAAGGGUUACAGAAGGUGGGCUAUUCCCAGCACAA